rnacentral:rRNA from 1 species
UACGGAGGGGGCGAGCGUUGUCCGCAGUUACUGGGCGUAAAGCGCGCGUAGGCGGGUUGCUAAGUCCGCUGUGAAAGCCCGAGGCUCAACCUCGGAGGGUCGGUGGAUACUGGCAGUCUUGAAGGUGGUAGGGGGAGAUGGAAUUACCGGUGUAGCGGUGAAAUGCGUAGAGAUCGGUAGGAACACCAGUGGCGAAGGCGGUCUCCUGGCCCACUCUUGACGCUGAGGCGCGAAAGCUGGGGGAGCGAACGGG